GCUCUGCUCUGCUCUGCUCUGCAUGUAGACCUGUUGUCCAGAAAUGUUCUGCCCUAGACUUGCCCAGGCUCUCUCUCCCUAAACUUCAAGGCUAAAGACACCCCAGCACCAUGAGUGAAAUCAUCAAGCCACGAGAGUGAGAAAGAGGCGGUACAGAGUUCCAGAAAAGAGACACAAUUCUCCCUUUUCCAGCCUGCUGCUGCCUGCCAUUCCUGUCCUGGACCUGUGCCCCUUGACACCUGGAGCCAUCAGCCUACCUUUUCCUGCCAUUCCUGCACCUGUGGCCCUGGGCACCUGGAGCCAUUAGCCAGUCCCUCCCUUCCUGCACCUGUGGCCUUCCACACCUGCAGCUGAGCAGCUAAUUGGUUAGCAGAGCACUUUCUUCUCCACUCUCUGGCCGCUAACGCCCUUCCUGUUCUCCAAUGCUAGUGUCUGAGACAUUGAUUUUAAUGUGAGAUGAACCUCCAAGCCCACCUUUCUAGAUGAAUAAUUAAGGAAACAAAAAGACAAGCCACAGUGUGCCAGAACAUUUUACAGAACACAGAUUCAGUGAAGGGCUCGUAUGCAGAACACAUGAGGAGUUCUUAUAAUCUGGUCAUGCAGAAACAGAACCCAGUGCUAAGCCAUGGGCAGAUAACGGAAGCAGACAUCCUGCUGAGAGGAUAUAUGGAUCUUCAUAAGCCCAGGAACAAGCCCUCAGACCUGAUGUCAAUAGAGGAAACAAACUGCAUUCCCACUGAGGACCAAAUCACACAUGCAGCGUCUCAGGCCUCAGAUAAAUAAAGGAAAUGGAAAUAAUGUGGAUCUGCAGUAUCUUCUGCAAGAACCUGGGCUGUCUGUGUUUCAGCUAACACCAAGAGAAUGUCUGUUCCCUGGACUGGAGUGAAGGGUGCUGAGGAUGAGGAAUCUCACUUGCUGCCUGGAUCUCUGUUUUCAAUUACUGCACCUACCAUGGAUGUACUGAUGUCCUGUCUCAAUAAAACAAAACAUCUGAAACCAUCAACAUGCCCUGAGAGAAGACUGGCUCAUCACCAUGACUGUGGUGUGUGGACACUUCCUCGAGUCAGCUGCCCAUCUCAUCACCAGGACAUAGAAAGAAGGAGUAGGAGUAGUGGGCUGGAUCCUACCAGGCAGCCCCCAAUAACCAAAGACCUUGGGUGAGGCCCCGUUAAAGUGUCCACUUCUUCUCCUUAGGGCCACGCAGGACCAAACCUUUAACAUAUGGGCCUGUGGGGGACAUUCAGCACCCACCCACAGCAGAGACCAGAGAAAGCUCCUCCAGUUCUUUAGGAGGCAGGCAGGAAGAUUCUGUGUGGAAAAUAAAGAUACCUGGUUGGGAAAUGAAAAUGCCAGGCCCAGCCUCAGAUUCACGCUACCCAGAAGCUGAGGAGCCGAAAAAUCACGAGUGUCUACAAAUCUACAUUUAUACCUGUAUUUUACCUAAAUCUACAUCUGCCUACCUAUCAUCUAUGCCUACCUACCUAUUGUCUGUUUUGUAUCUAUCAAUCAUCUCUGUCUAUGAUACCCAAAGAGAGAACUUGGAGGCCCCAAACACACAAAGUUCCUACCAUAAGCACAUCUAUAAUCCAGGGCUGACCUGGCUCAGCAGGGCAGGGAGGUAAGACCUACUAAAGACUCAUUUAACCAGUAAGGAAAAACCCGCAAGAAGAAAAUCAGCAGUGACAACAGAAACAAUAAUAAAUCAUGAUAAACUAACAGAGAAAGUACAUAAUUUAAAGAAUUAAAAUGAGUUUUCAAAGCCAUAUGUUAAAGAGAAAAUAUAUCCAAAAGAUGAAUAUGAAAUAAAGGCUAGAGAAGUGAAAUUUAUCGUCA